GUGGGAACCUGCUAUAAAACACAGUGGAAAAUUCAAGUAUGCCUAGCUGUAGAAUAUAUUUUUCUGAGUGUGUUUAUGGUUAUUAAAAGAGCCUCUAGAUGAAAGAGGAGAGUGAAAAAGUUGGCUUAAAGCUCAACAUUCAGAAAACUAAGAUAAUGGCAUCCGGUCCCAUCAUUUCACAGCAAAUAAAUGGGGAAACAGUGGCUGACUUUUUAUUUUGGGGGGCUCCAAAAUCAUUGCAGAUGGUGAUUGCAGCCAUGAAAUUAAAAGACGCUUACUCCUUGGAAGGAAAGUUAUGAUCAAUCUAGACAGCAUGUUAAAAAGCAGAGACAUUACUUUGUCAACAAAGGUCUGUCUAGUCAAGGCUGUGGUUUUUCCAGUGGUCAUGUAUGGAUGUGAGAGUUCGACUGUAAAGAAAGCUGAGUGCCAAAGAAUUGAUGCUUUUGAACUGUGGUGUUGGAGAAGACUCUUGAGAGUCCCUUGAACUGCAAGGAGAUCCAACGAGUCCAUCCUAAAGGAGAUCAGUCCUGGGUGUUCAUUGGAAGGACUGAUAUUGAAGCUGAAACUCCAAUACUUUGGCCACCUGAUGUGAAGAGCUGACUCAUUGGAAAAGACCCUGAUGCUGGAAAGACUGAGGGCAGGAGAAGGGGAUGACAGAGGAUGAGAUGGUUGGAUGGCAUCACUGACUCAAUGGACAUGGAUUUGGGUGGACUCUGGCAGUUGGCUAUGGACAGGGAGGCCUGGUAUUCUGCGGUUCAUAGGGUUGCAAAGAGUCAGACACGACUGAGCAAUUGAACUGAACUUAUGGUUAUUACUUUUGCAGGAGAAAGGCCUUUUGUAAGGAGGUGUGUCGGAAGGAUAUUUAGAGGUGAAGUUAUCUUCAAUAUUCUGAUAGAUUAUUUACAUUUUCAGAGGAAACAAAAUGCCAGUGAAGGAAUAGAAGGAUUUUAGGAUUUGUGGCAAGCCAGUGAGGAAGCUUUGAUUAGGAAAGAGAUCUUUGGUGCUCCUUGUGGUCCACCCACCACCUUGGGCCAGCCAGCCCUGGCAAGUUAUCAGGUAAAUCACACUUUGUGUGCCGUUUAUAGAUUUGGGUUUCUACAGAAAAGAGAUGCUUUUUAAUAAAUUCAGAUCAUCAUGUUGUAUUACUUCAUUUGCAUAUGUGACAUGUAAAUAAAUAGAGAUGCAGUUAUUGCACUGUAAAUGCAAACAAGAGUGCUGACAAUGUGUGGGCCUGUUACGAGCUGAAUUGAGCUCCCCACCUCUGCCAAGAUUCAUAUGUUGACACUUUUCACCCCCAGUACUCCAGAAUCUGCCUGUAUGUGAAGAUAAGUUCUUUAAAGGCAUGAUUAGGUUAAAAUGAAAUCUUUAGGGUGGAUCCUAAUCCAUUAUGACUGGUGUUCUUAUAAGAGGAGAAGAUUAGGACACAGAUGUGCAACAGAUGUACAGAGAUGUACAGAGAGGAGGCCAUGUGAGGACCCAGUGAGAAACAACUCUGUAAACCAAGGAGAAAGGCCUCAGAAGAAACCAGCCUGCUGAUACCUUCGUUUUGGACUUCUAGCUGUGAAGAAAUAAAUCACUGAUGUGAUAUUUUGUUACUGCAGCCCAUGUAAACUGAUAACAGGGCCCUUUCCCCACCUUUAUAGAUGCUGUUUUUAUCAUUUCAAAACCAAAAAUUGUUGUUAUGGGAGAAGUCAGGAAUGGGUUAUAGGAAUCUUUUCUUAAUAAGAUUUUCCUUCCACUUCUCAAUCCUUUUCACCCAACCCUACAUUACUCCAUGCCAUUCCAGUACUCACGCAUACCAGAUAACUGGCUGCUUCCAUGUAUUUGUAGGUAUAUUCUCUAAACAAGCUUUAGUUGUUUUUCCUAAGCAACAGGAAAAUCUUCCAUCUUGUUUUUCUGUCUUUGUAAAACACAGGAGAAGUCCAGUUGAAAAAGAAGAGAGGGCCUUAGUGUUUAUGGAGCACCUGUUUUAUGGUAGCUACUACUGUGUUGUUCACUUUGCAGAAGCCAGCUCCUUUAGUGAGGAAACAGCAGUGGCCCAAUUUAGAAAAAGAGAAGGAAACGCAAUAGCCCAUGACAUCAUUUUGGAACUUUGCAUCUCUUGCUUUUGCCCUGCUGUGUAUAGACUUAGCCCAACUAUCAGAUCUGCAAUGCCUGUGAUGCCUGGUGAUUAUGAAAAGUACCUUAACUAUUUAACACUGGAUGUUAAUCAUUUUGUGAAAAGCAGCAUAUCCUUGGGGGUAUUCAUGGGGAAUGUCCCAGGAAAUAACAUGGGAGGCACUAGUGCUUCUGAGAGUGCUUAAUUGCCAGUCAUAGAUAAUUUGCAUGUGCGUGCCUCCUCCUAGAAAGUGAAAGUCACUCAGUUGUGUCUGACUCUUUGCAACCCCCUGGACUAUACAAUCCAUGGAAUUCUCCAGGCCAGAAUACUGGAGUGGGUAGACAUUCCCUUCUCCAGGAGAUCUUCUCAACCUAGGAAUUGAAUCCAUGUCUGCCACAUUGCAGGCGGAUUCUUUACCAUCUGAGCCACCAAGGAAGCCCCCUCCUCCUUAAUGGAGAGUAACUGAAGGAAAAAUGGGGAAAGAUGGCUUUAACCCAAGUACUAGAUAUGAACCUCAUUACUCUAUAAUCAGUUGUGUAUUAUGAUGUAAUGAGGUUCAUAUCAAAUAUAGUACUUGUUUAUGCCAGCUGUGUUAUUCCAGUCAUCUUUUAUGUGCCUUCUACUGAUCACAGAACAAUAAAUUAUAGGUGGGUCAGACUUAAUCCAACAUUUCCAUUAGAAAAACAAGCACAUGAUGCAUUAUUUUGGGUUGAAGCCUUCUGUGUACAUUUGGUGGAGAAAGAGUUUGCCAAAGGUCAGUGGUUACUAGAGAGAAUGGAAGCAUACGUGUUCAGUAUACCCUCGUGGUUGGAACCUCAUGGGGACAUGCCUUGGUCUGGAUCUCUGUUGCCUAUUUCAGUAGCAUUUAUGGUCAGGUGAUGCAUCCUGCGGUUCUCGUGACAACUGUUCUACAAGUCUCACGCCCUCUUUACCAUUGACAAUCCACUUUUUAAAGUUUUCGUCCCCGUUUCUUUAAAAGAAGAGAUGAAAUUUUCUAAAAUCCAUAGUGGAACUUCCCCCAGUGAUCCAGUAGUCCAAGACUCCAUGCUGCAAAUGCAGGAGACCCAGGUUUGAUCCCUGGUCAGGGAACUAGAUCCCACCCAUGCCGCAACGGAGAGUUCAUAUGCUGCAACUAAUGAUUCCACACGAAGUGCUCCAGCAAAGAUCAGAGGGUCCUGUGUGCUGCACCUAAGACCUGGUGCAGGUGAAUGAGUAAACACACAACUUUUAAACAGUAAAAUCCCCUGUAAUUCAAGGAUUCUGAGCUGCUGAUUCUGUGAAUGGGAUAAAGAUUCUCUUGAUUUGAGGCAUCCGUUGGUUGGGGGCAGUGCUGCAUUGAACUUCAUACUGAGGAUUAUGUGGCAAACAAUUAUACAGGCUGAGACCAAGAUGUGCCAGUCUGGAGUGGAAUAACACGUGAGUGGUGGGUUCCCAGUAUCCGGGUAUAACAACCAUGAAGCUUUCUUUGGAUACAUUCUGUGAUGUGCUCAGUUAAAAGCGGGAGGAGUAUUGCCAGACUGUCACAUUCUCUGUCUCAGUUAUGGCAUACUCUGAGUGAAGAACUAAACUUGAAUACCCCAGAGAUAAUCACCUAAUAGUUUUUUGUCAUUGGCAGCCAAGGGAAUGGAGUUAUUUGCACCUUCUCUGUCCUCCCUUGGUAUCUUCUAUCUUUUGUGGCAGUUAGCUUCCAAGACAGCCCCCAGUGAUCCCUGCCCCUUGUUGUUCAUGCCUUGGUGAAGUCCCCUUCUGUGCUAAAUAGGGUUGACCUGUGUAACCAGUAGGAGACUGUGGAAAUGUCAGUGUGUGACUUCUGAGGCUAGGUCCUAAGAGAUGUUGCGGCUCCCAUUGUGCUCUCUUGAAUUGCUCACUCCCAGGGAGGCCGGCUGCCACGUUCUGCAUGCACUGGAGCAGCCCUGUGGAGAAGUCUGUGAGAUGUGGAACUCGGGCUUCCUCCCCACGAACUGGUCUGCAUGUGUGUGAGCCACCCAGGCAGUAGACCUUGCAGCCCUAGUCAAGCCCUGGGAGGACUGGAGGCCCCACGUACAUCUUGUCUGCCCCUGAGUCCUCUUGGGUUCUUGGCCACAGAAGCUCUAUGAAACAAUAAAUGUUUAUUGUUUUAGGCUACCAAGUUUGGGGAAAUACGUUAUGCAAUGGUAGAAAUACGAUCUUCAUUGUUUCUCAUUCUUUUUUCGAUCAUAGUUUAUAUCUUUAUCUCCCUUUAGACUUUAAUCUAGCAAAUGACAGAGUUCAGGUCUUAAUCUACUUUUGUAGGCCUUACAGAGGUGAUUAUGGUUUUCUGAAAAUAUUUUUAAUUAUAUAUGAUGAACUUAAAACCUAGAACACCUGGGUUGUACCUGUUGUUUCUGUUCAGAAAGGUUGUAAAUUACCUCUGCUAUUUUAUUUUGGAGUAAAUGCAGUAUUUUCAAUAGGUUUCCCUAAAAAGGAAGUUAGAUUGUUUAAACAAUGAAAAUAAACAAAAACACAAUUAUUUAUAAGAGAAUUGACAUCUUAACAAGUGUCUAAACAAAGAGGAAAAGAGACUCACGGCAGAACCAGGAACCACUGUUGGAGUUGGCUACCUUGAAAGAAUAUACUGAGAAAAAGAGAAUGCCCUUUUCUGAUUAUCUGUUCUUACUCAUUUGAAAGUAAUUUCAAACUUACAAGCUGAUAUGUUGGAAAAACAUAACACCUGUAUACUUUUUAACCUCAACUUGGCUAUUUUGUCUCAUUAGGUUUAUCUUUGAUGCUUCCCUGUGUUCACUCAGUGCAUGUGUGUGGGUCUUUACACACAAUGUUGUUUCUAAAUCAUCCAAGGGUAUACAUCAUAGCCCUCUAUCCCUAAAUUCUUAAGUGUGUAAUUCCUGAGAAUUACAGUUAACUUGAGUCAAUUUAACCUUGAUACUUCACUGUUUUUAUUCCAGUUUUAUCAGUUGAGCCAAUAACAUCUUUUAUGCCGUUUUGCCCCUUCCCAAUGGCACCCCACUCCAGUACUCUUGCCUGGAAAAUCCCAUGGACGAAGGAGCCUGGUAGGCUGCAUUCCAUGGGGUCGCUAAGAGACAUGACUGAGCGACUUCACUUUCACUUUUCACUUUCCUGCAUUGGAGAAGGAAAUGGCAACCCACUCCAGUGUUCUUGCCUGGAGAAUCCCAGGGAUGGCAGAGCCUGGUGGACUGCCGUCUAUGGGGUCGCACGGAGUUGGACAUGACUGAAGCGACUUAGCAGCAGCAGCGGCGGCCCCUUCCCCAUAUGGGAUUGAGUAUAGGCUUAUGCAGUUAGUUGUGUACCUUUAGUCUCUUUUGUAACAUUUCCAUAGACUUUGUCUUUUAUGACAUUGAAAUUUUGGAAGAACACAGGCCUUCCCUUUUUUAGAAGAAUGAUCCUUGUUUGGGAUUUGUCUGGUGUUUUCUUGUGAUUAGAUUUAGUAUCCUUUUACGUUUUCUGAAGUGAGAAAACAGUAUUCCACUCAAGGGAUCAGCUCAAAGCAAAAUUUAGGUUAAACUUAGUUCAAAGGAAUUAUUAGAAGCCAAAAUGGGAAAGCAAAACAUGUUGUAGAAUCUUAGAAAAUGUUUACAAUAAGAGAGUUUUCUAUCUUUCAUGUUACUGUGAAUAGUAUUGAUUGACUCAACAACUGGAUUCUAAAAGUAAAGAAAUGUCUUGGCCUCGGGAUGACCUUAGGUGGUUUUAUUUAGCUUCAUCAUGAACUUGUCUCCCCAGAAAAGCCAGUGGUAUCUUUCCCUAGAAACAAAGGAUUUUCUUCCACCUAUUGCUAAAUUUAUUUAACAAACACUAUUAAAUUCUUAUUAUCUGCCAGACACUGGAGUGAGUCCUGGGAAUACAAAGAAGAAUAUAACAGACUUUGUAUGCCCUGUUGUAUAUUAAAAGACAAUCACAGAGGCUGGCAUGCCAUAGAGGUCAGGAGGAGCCUCUGCCUGGGGAUAGUUGUAACCACACCAGAGUGGGAAAGCCUAAAUGCCCUUUUCUGUUCAAAAGGAAAUUGCUGUUGCUCCUGUAAGAGUCACAUCUACCUGCUAGAAAAACUUAUCUUGCUGUUGUGUGACAUUUUUACUUAUUCUAGUGUAUUAAUAAUGACUAGAUCAUGUUGAAUAAUUCAGUGCAAGUAAUCCCUUGAAGAGACUGGGGGAUAACCUAGAUUAUUUCUUCUAAUGCUUAAAAUAUUGAAUUGUUGCACUUUGUUUUAUACUAUAUAAAAUGCCUGGGAAUUCACUUUUUAAAAAAAUAAUAGCACUAAAUUUUUUAUUGUAUAUCUAUUUUUGCAUGUGUUAUUCCCAAUAGUAUCACAAGUGUAAAGGCUUAAACCAUUACUCUGAGAUGAUAAAUGUUUUUAAAAUCUGAAGAUAAAACAACGUUUAACCUUCUGAUGCUGUGAUAAUAGUUAUGGUUUUGUUCCUGACUCUUCCCACGUGGCAGUAUCCUAGGCAAUUCAUUUCCUCUGAACACUAACGCAUUCUCAGCCACUCAACUUUGUGAUUCUGGUUUAGGGAAAUGUCAUUAUACAUGGCUGCCUAAAAUACUGUAAAGUAAACUUGGAAAUAAAGUGCUAAUAUGCUGAAACUGUAAUAACUUCUAAUAAGAGUACUGCUAAAGAUAAUUCCUUACCUCAAAUAUAACGUAGGAUAAUGGAUAUGGCUGUACUAUUGUAGAAGAUGUUCUUUAUGUUUAAAUUAUAUUACCUGAAAGGUUGAUAUUUUCAUGUAAUUCUUUAAUAUAAAUAUUCUAAAUUCUGUAUUAUAUUUUGCUAGGACGGUAACUAAAUACCAGGCUAAAACAAAGGAGCUAUGGUUUUAUUUUGUCAGAAGUGAGGUUUUUAAAAGGCACCUGUAGAUCAGAAAGGAAUUCACGAAGAUCAGAAAAUCUAAUAAAAGAUGGAGAAAGGUUUUUUUUGAGUCAUUGUAUAUAUGUCCUGGCAUCUGUAUGGGUGAAUAUUGACCAAAGAGAAAUAUUUUAUUGAUAAAUAUGUAUUUUAAUCAGAAUAAUUCUCUGAUAUGACAUUCAAAUAAGCUAACCAAUUUUGACAAUUUUUCUUCUCUUAAAAUUGAGAGGAGGGAAUUCUCUGGCCAUCCAGUGGUGAGGACUCUGUACCUUCACUGCCAAGGGCCCAGGUUCAAUCCCUGGUCAGGAACUAAGAGCUCACAAGCUUUGAGCAGAAAUAAUAAAGAGCUCACAGGUGUGGCAAAAAUAAUAAAAUUUUUUAAAUGGAGAGGGAAAGAACACAGAUGCUUUUCACCGAUGCAGUUUAAAUACAGUUAACAUUCAGUUCAGUUCAGUCGCUCAGUCGUGUCCAACUCUUUGCGACCCCAUGAAUCACAGCACGUCAGGUCUCCUGUCUAUCACCAACUCCCAGAGUUCACUCAAACUCAUGUCCAUUGAGUCAGUGAUGCCAUCCAGCCAUCUCAGCCUCUGUUGUCCCCUUCUCCUGCCCCCAAUGUCUCCCAGCAUCCGAGUCUUUUCCAGUGAGUCAACUCUUCUCAUGAAGAGGCCAAAGUACUGGAGUUUCAGCUUCAGCAUCAGUCCUUCCAGUGAACACCCAGGGCUGAUCUCCUUUAGGAUGGACUGGUUGGAUCUCCUUGCAGUCCAAGGGACUCUCAAGAGUCUUCUCCAACACUACAGUUCAAAAGCAUCAAUUUUUCGGCACUUAGCUUUCUUCACAGUCCAACUCUCACAUCCAUACAUGACCACUGGGAAAACCAUAGCCUUGACUACACGGACCUUUGUUGGCAAAGUAACGUCUCUGCUUUUUAAUAUGCUGUCUAGGUUGGUCAUAACUUUCCUUCCAAGGAGUAAGCGUCUUUUAAUUUCAUGGCUGCAGUCACCAUCUGCAGUGAUUUUGGAGCCCCCCAAAAUAAAGUCUGACACUGUUUCCACUGUUUCCCCAUCUAUUUCCCAUGAAGGGAUGGGACCAGAUGCCAUGAUCUUCGUUUUGUGAAUGUUGAGCUUUAAGCCAACUUUUUCACUCCUCUUUCAGUUUCAUCAAGAGGCUUUUUAGUUCCUCUUCACUUUCUGCCAUAAGGGUGGUGUCAUCUGCAUAUCUGUUAACAUUAAUAUAUAAACAUAAUUGAUCUUUCAAACUAAGUUAUUAGGCUGCCCACAGUAGAACCAUAUUGUGAAGCAUAAGGUAAGCUCUGAAUCUAAUUAUAAAUGGAAUAUAGAUUACCUCAAGGUUACUUGUUUAUAUUUUUAGUAUCAGUCAGGAAUUGACUAGGUUGUCUUAAAUUUGAAAAUCCCUGUUGCUUUUUAUAGAGUUUAGAAAGCGUUUUGGAUUCUGUAACAUACUAUAGUAUAUAAAAUUGAAAAUCAAAACUGGUCAAAUAUUGGAAAUUUUAUAUGAUUCUGCCUUAAAAUGGAUUUCUUUGUUAAUACAGCUUCUGCCUCCCUCUCUAACCUGUUCUGCCUCAGUUCACCUUGAACUUCAUCUUCUUUCUAAAAGCUUUUAGCAGUCUAUCAUUUGCUUGCUCACAUCUAACUUUUACAGAGUUGCGUUGUCCUGCCUGAUAGCCAGUACUUGAAUGUAGCCAUUUAAAUCUGACUUCAAAUUCACUGAAAUGAAAUUAAAAAUCCAACUCUUGCUUCACUGGUCACAUAUCGAGUUCUCAGUAAUCUACCUUACUGGACACUGCAUGUAUCUGGUAUUCCCAUCGUUGCAAACUGUGUGUUAAUGUUAGCAUUUUUAGAGGCUAUCUAGUUGCUAAAAAUGAAACACUUUCUAAUGCAAUGCCUCUGAUUGACCAAAAUAGUAACUAUUUUAUUUGAAUAAUUGGGAAAUACUUAACCAAAUAGCAGUGUUUGAUUAAUUACAUUUCAAAGCAUAUGUGCUUUGCUGAGAAAGUGAAAUGAUCUGUCGAAUGUUUUGUAGCUAGUCGGUAAAAUUGCAUUAAGCACUUGUUUGUUCCAGACACUGUUCCCUGUGCUUAUACAGAACUGAAACCAUGUCUCUCCUCAAGAAAUGCUUACAUUUUAGAAGGUGAGGGGAAGACAGCAAGCACAGAGUACUUAUUAGAGUCGUAUGUGCUGAUAUAGUACUACUUAGUACUUCCCAUGGUGUGAGCAAAUACUGUGAGGAAAAUACAGCAGAGGGUGACUGAGACAACUGCUUUUGCUGAGAAGUCAAGGAGGAUCUCUUUGAGGUAACUGGAAUUAAGACUGAAUAACAGGGAAGGAGAUUAGAGUCAGAGAAAAGAGCAAGUUAUAAAUGUCUUGAGAGAAGAUUCUGUUUGGCCAGCAACAGGAAGGUAAGGUUCCUAUGACGGGAAUGUGAACUCAUUUCGGAAUAGAAUGGUAGGAGAUGUUCAGAGAGUUAGUAGUUCAAAUUGUUUAAGUCUUGUUAACUAGGAGGUAAGGAACUUGGAUUUGGCGUUUUUCCAUAAUAGGAAUCCAUCAAGGGGCUUCCCUGGUGGUCCAGUGGGCUAAGACUGCGCUCCCAAAGCAGGGGCCUGGGUUCUAGUUCUCUGGUCAGCGAACUAGAUUCCCACGUGCCACAACUAAGGGUUUGCAUGCCACAAUGAAGAUUAAAGACGCCACAUGCCACAACAAAGACUUGGUGCAGCCAAGUAAUUUUUUUUUUUUUUUUUUUUUGGUAAGGAACCCAUUGAAAAGUUUUAACCCCGGAAAGAACGUGAUCAGAUUUGUGCUUAGGAAGGUCAGUCUGAAUGCUGUGUGGAACAGAGGCAGGGACGCUCAGGUUGAGGCAUCUGCCAUCCAAGGGAGACACUGGUAGUUCAGACUUAUUUCAGCCAGAGAUGGUAGGAAAUGGCUAGAGUCAGAGUGUACUGGUGGAUUGUAUAUGGGGUGCAAGGGAAAGAGAAUCAGAAUAUUCAACAGUGCCAUGUUACACAAUGAACAAUCAUUUAAGCAGUUACGUCCCUUCUUGGAUAGUAUUUCUUCAUCGCUUCUUCCCGUUUUGGUUUAUGUGUUUUUUUCACUAAAUGAUAUCAUAAAAUUAAUUUCCUUCCUACUUGAAAAACAGUGUAUUUUUCAAACAUUUUUCAAGAGUUUUGGUUACAGAAUGAAAGAAAGAUAAGUUACAUUAAUUCCAACAGAGGCCAUUGUGUUACUGACAUUCAUGUAUGUCUUCUUACAUGUCCAGCUCCUCAUGUAUUGAAACACAUCAGAGUUCCAUUGUUCUAAAUAAACACCUCACUUCUCUUGCUCAUGUCUUGUUUUACUCUACCUUCUUGCUUUGUUGGCUCCAGCUGUGAUGCCCAUUUGUUCUGGCAUGAUAUGGUGGUUCUGUUGCAAAUCAUAAAAUGCUCCCUUCGGGAAGUCCUGAGACAUUAUUUCUCCCAGAAGGUCUCAGGGCUUACUGAAAAAAGCAGUCUUUGCCAGAGAGAACCAUCUGUAGAAGCGUGGUUAACGGAUUAAAUACAUAACUGAGCACUUGUUCACAUGUUGAACUCAAAACUUUUUCCUGCAGAAAAUUCUGACUUUGCCUGCAGGUGUCUCCCUCCUCGUUGAGUUAGGAUGGUCUUCUGCUCUGGAGAAGGAAAUGGCAACCCACUCCAGUACUCUUGCCUGGAAAAUCUCAUGGAUGGAGGAGUGUUGUAGGCUACAGUCCAUGGGGUCGCCAAGAGUCGGACACGACUGAGCAACUUCACUUUCACUUUUCUUUCUAUCAAAGCAGGAGUCCUGAUUAGGAACCUCAGUUGCCAUUAUAGUUUAGUAACAUCACUUGCUUGUUCGCUUCUAAUACAUGUAGCUAUGCUCUUAGCAACAUACAGUACUAGUACUCUCUACUAGUACUAGUACUCAGUCAUGUCCGACUCUUUGUGACCCCAUGGACUGUAGCCCACCAGGCUUCUAUGUCCAUCGGAUUUUCCAGGCAAGAGUACUGGAGUGGGUUGCCAUUUCCUUCUCUAGGAGAUCUUCCUGACCCAGGGGUUGAACCCAGGUCUCCCACACUGUAGGCAGAUGCUUUACCACCUGAGCCACCGAGGAAGUCUAGUACUGUCUAAGGAUUGGCAAAACAUCUGUAAAGGAUCUGUUGUGGACUGGAUAUUUGUGUCCUCCAAACCCAUAUGUUGAAACCCGUACCCUGCACAUGAUGGAAUUAGGAGGUAGGGCCUUUAGAAAGUAAUUAGGAUUAGUUGAGGUUAUGAAAAUCUAGCUCUUGUGAAUGGGAUUAGUGCCCUUGUAAGGGUCAAAGUAGCCUUUCUUGGUGGCUCAGUGGUAGAGAAUCUGCCUGCCAAUGCAGUAGACAUGGGUUCAGUCCCUGGGUAGGGAAGAUCCCCUAGAGGAUGACUUGGCAACCUACUCCAGUAUCUUUACCGGGAGAAUCCCUGUGGACAGGGGAGCUUGGCGGGCUACAGUCCUUGGAGCUGCUAAGACUGGGACAUGACUGAGCAACUAAACAACAACAAAGGGUCCAAGAGCCUUCUCCCUCUCUCUGUUCUCUACCAUGUGAGGUUACAGCCAGAAGUCAGCUGUCUGCUCCCAGGGACAAGGGCUCUCCCCAGAGCUGGCACCCGGAGCUCAGACUUCCAGCCUCCAGAACCAUGAAAAAUAAGUUCCAGUUGUUUAUAAGCCAUCCAGUCUAUGGUAGUAUUUUGUUAUAGUGGUCUGAGCUGACUAAUAACAGGGCUAGUUGAUAAAUGUUUUAGUCUUUGUAGGCCAUGCAGUCUCUGCCAUUAACUAUGCAACUCUGCUGUUGUAGUGUCCAAGCAGUCACUGACAAUAGAAGAAUGAGUGGGAAUGGCUGUGUGCUAAUAAAACUUUAUGAGAACCAGCAGCAGGCAAGAUUUCGCCCAUGGGCCUUUGCUGAACCUUUCUCUAGGCCUUUGUAAGACCAACUUGUUACACUAGAGAGCUGGGCUAUGCUAUUUAUGGAAUAUGAUCAGAAGGAGCCACCAUAUAUCCACUCCUCUAAGUAAAUUAUAAGAUUGACUUGAUUCUCUCUUGUGUGUGUUUAAAAAUUUUUUUUGUUGUUAGGCAGGUAGACAUCCUGCUUUUAAGUGCAUCAUCUGCCACAGAAAAGCUGAGGAGGAAGAGUGUCUUUAGGUAGUCUGUAGUUUUGGGGGAAAGGAUGUCUCAGUUAUGAUGACCAGUGGUGAUUAGCCACAUGGAAAAAAUGGGAAAUAGAUAAAAACCUAUCAUUGUCUCUCCAACUUAAUCCUCUUUCUUGCCUCUGGGUGUCAUUCUAGUUUCUAAUAUUAUUCAGCUAAGAGAUGUUAAGUGUCGCUGCUAGGUGCCAGGCGUAGUGCUAGGCAAUGUCUUCUGGGAAUGUCCUUCUACUAGGAAAGGAUACCUAAUAUAAACCACUGGCAUCCAUUUUCCUGCGUAUGUAUCUCACUACCUGUCGUGAAUGAGAUACUUCAUAAAUCUUUAUGGUGGAAUUAGUAUCUCCUACAAAUCAAUAAAUUGGUAUUAUUUGUAAAUUUACUCUCUUAUGGAUUCAGUUAACUUGAAUCAGUGGAUAAAUUGAUAAAUAAAACAAGCCAAAGUUAAUGUCCAAACAUGAACCCAAGGUGAUUCUAAAUAUCCUGUGAUAUCUAAAAAGAUCAAACCAGUCAAUCCUCUAGAAAAUCAACCGUGAAUGUGCAUUGAAAGGACUGAUGCUAAAGCUCCAGUACUUUGGCCACCUGAUGGGAAGAGCCAACUCAUUGAAAAAGACCCUGAUGCUGGGAAAGUUGGAAGGCAAAAGAAGGGAGCAGCAGAAGAUGAGAUGGCUAGAUAGCAUCACCAACUCAGUGGAUAUGAGUCUGAGCAAACUCCAGGAGAUAGUGGAGGACAGGGGAGCCUGGCAUGCUAUAGUCCAUAGGGUUGCAGAGCUGGACAGGAGUUAGCAACUGAACAACAGUGGCAAUCUAAGGAUUUUAACAAGGUUACUGAACUGUCUUUUCCUACACUGCUACAUAAAACACUGAAAUUCGUGAAAGGAAGUAAUUGAAUUAAAUACAAUAUAUUUUUUUAGGAAAAGUUUUAUAAGGUAUCACCAUGAGUUGUGCUAUGAACCCACUCUGCCUAACAUUUUCAUAUCUUAUUGAAUGUUCCCCAAACUUCAUCAUGGGCAUUAUAUUAGAGUUGGGGUCAUCACAAAAAAUAAAUCAUACUAAAAUGAGGCAUGGUCAUAUGCAGUUUUCCAAGCUGAUUUGUAAAACCACACUCCACAGUGGCAAAAGCAUUUUACAUUUCAACCCAGUAUACAUACACACCUGCAACUAAGGCAAAGUGAAUGAGUAACCAGCCCUGCUGCAUGUAAUGCCUUCUGUUUUCAGUUAUUUGAACUCUUCUCAUAAGAGAUCAUGACCUACAGUUUGAAAAAUAGUGAUUUUACUCAGUAUGUAUUCUUGGUGUGACAGUAUGAUACUCUAUAAGCCAUCUCAUUUUUCUAGCCAUUUUGUUCAUUUAUUUUUAAAUGUUUGUACAUACUGAGCUCUUGAGUGAGUGAGUGAAAGUUACUCAGUCAUGUCUGACUCUGCGACCCCAUGGACUAAACAGCCUAUGGAAUUCUCCAGGCCAGGAUACUGGAGUGGGUAGCUUUUCCCUUCACCAGGGGAUCUUCCCAACCCAGGUCUCCCACAUUGCAGGCAGAUUCUUUACCAGCUGAGCUACAGGGGAAGCCCAAGAAUAUUGGAGUGGGUUGUCUAUUGCUUCUACAGGGGAUCUUCCCGACCCAGGAAUCAAACUGGGGUCUCCUGCACUGCAGGCAGGUUCUUUACCAACUGAGCUAUCAGGGAAGCCCAUGGCGUUCUUACUGUAGGUCAGAGGCAGUUCUAGGUCCUAGGAUAUUCAGACGUGAGUAUGACUCAGUCCUGCCCUUGAGCUCAGAGGGUAAGACAAAGUUACAACUUUUACUAAGUAUUCUAUCAGAAGGAAAAAUAUACUAUGGGAACAGAGAGAAGCAUCCAACUAAUUCUCCCAGCAGAAAUCCAAAACAGACUUGGUACAAGAAGUGACAUAAGAAAUUAGGUUAUGUUAGAUGAAUUUGAGUUUUCCAGGUGUAAGAGAAGGUCACUCCUGGCAAGCGGACCUGUGUAUGCACACACAGGAUGUUUGAAAAGGUGGAACUUCAAGCAACAGUAAGAGGUUCGGUGUAGCAAGAGUUCAGAAGCAUAAGGAGAUGAGACAGAGAAGUAUCGAUCGAUUGAAGGAUCUGUGUGCCUUGUUAAGGAAAAGACUUUGUUCUUUUGUUGUGAGAAGCCCAGAGGUUUUGAAUCUAGAAUCUAUAGGAUAAGGUGCUUGUGUUUUGGUAAGUUCUGUCAGCUGCUUAAAGGAUGGUAAAGAGAGAAGAGAUUAAAGACAGGAAAUUCUUUGCAUUGCUUCAAAUGGGAAAUAAAACUUGAACUAGAUAGCAAUGGAAGUAUGAGAAAGAUGGUCUAAAUUCCAGUGUUCAGUUCCAUUCAUUAAUUGAAUGUUAACUGUGUGUCAGGUUAUUAAUAAAUACUUUGAUACAAAAAAGAAUAAAAUCUCUCUGAUUUUGAGUUUUCUGUCUAGUGGAAAACAAAAACAAGUUGGUCAGCUUGGUAUUAUAAUGGUGAAGUGUUGUGACAAAGCCUUGUAUAAAGUAUGAAAAAAACAGUUUCAAAACUCAGACUGAGGAGCUCAUGAAGCCUUUCUGUAGUGAGGGGGGAACAUCCAAGUGGAAUCCAGGAGAAUGAGUAGGAGUUGCCCAGGUGAAGUGAAGGCCAAGGGGCAUUACAGGCAGAGGAAAUUAGUCCUGAGAAUUAAGGAACUAAGGGGAACUGUGUGGAAUUCAGUACUGCCGGAGUACGCGUGGGUGAGGAACGAUAUGAGUGAGCCCAGAGUAGGAGUGGAAGGUUCACCCGGGUUGCUGUGGUGGAGCUUUCAAGUUUGUAUGGAGCCCCUGAGUUGUGCUAUGGUGUCUAGACUUCAUCCUGUCACUGGUGGGGAGCCCGUGGACUGACACGGGCCACUUGGUUGAGGCGGCUUAUUCUGGUAAUGUAGAGGAUGGUAACAGCUAACUUUCAUUGAGUGCAUUUAAUGUGCCAAGCACUGUUGUAAGCAUUUUACAUGUAUCACAACAUGUUGAAACCAUCCUACUUUUAAUAGUCUUAUGUUAAUGACACAUUGAUUAAGUAGCUUGCUCAGGUUUACACAGUCAAGUGGCAGAGCCAGGACUCAAUCCCAGUAAUCUGACUCUAACCCACAGUGAGAUGCUGCUGAGUAGGUGAGAGCAUGGCCCAACUAUAGGGAAGAUUUGAACUGCCCUGGGUACAGGUAGCCGAUGGAGGGAAGUCUGUUUAGGCUGCCAUAACCCAGUACCACAGACUGAGUUGCCUCACAGCAGAAAUUUAUCUUCUCACAGCCCUGGAGACUAGAAGACCUUCAUGCUGUCAGAUUUGGGUUCUGGGUUCUUGCUUGUAAUUGACAGAGGACUGCCAUUUUGCUUUGCUUUCACUUAGCCUUUCCUCUGUGUGUUCGUGUGGAGAGAGCCAGCUCUUUGGGGUCUCUUAGGAGGACACUAACCCUAUCAAACAGGGCCCCACCCUUGUGACCUCAUUUAACCUUAACUACUUCCCUAAAGGCACCCUGUCUCCAAAGACAGUCUCCCUGAGAGUUAGGGCUUCACCAUGGUGGGCUGGGGGGAGUGCCGGGGUCGGGACACAAAAUACUCCAGCCUUAACAGUUUCAGAAAACAUUCAGGAGAUAAAAUCAGCACAGAAAGUUGGUGAUGGAGUUGAUGUGGAAAGCAAAGGAGAAGGGGGGAUUUAGAAUGACUCAGGUUUCAAACAGAGGACUCAGAAAAAGCACAUUUGGGGGAAUGGCGGUUCGGUUGGGAUUCUAGUAAACUAGAAGCACCUAGGAAGCAUCCAAUAGGUGUCGGCAGUACUGAUGUGAAGAGGGUCAUCAGCAUCUGAGGGGAGUUGAAGCCACGGUUUGGGUCAAACCACCUAGAAAAAUGUGGAGUGAAAAGAGGUAGUUUUAAAAAAAAAAGGGGGGAAAAUACUUAAGGGUAAACAGACAAAGAGUGAGGGGAGAAGCAAAAAAUAGAUAUCCAACCCUGAAGCCAGAGGAGGAGAGAAUUUCAAGCAACAAGGAGUCCUUAACACUCAAAUUCUUUAGCCUCCUGUGCAUCAGAUUUUAUUCUUUGGUGAGAAAAGGAAAUAAUGGUAGAAUCAUUGUGUUUUAUUGCCUACUAGGACCAGAGAGAAUAUUUUCCAAUCGCCUCAUUCUGAAACAAGGAAGCUGAAGCCUCACAAAGCCUAGAGUUUGUCUCUUUCGUGGUGCAGGUGGAGCUAGAAUUUAGGUCUCCCAAGCCUCUUGACUUCAAUCCAGUGCUUUCACGAUGUAUCAAGUUGAAUUCAACUUGUGGGGUUUGAAAAGUGGCUUUAAGUUGUAAAAAAAAAAAAAAAAAUUACACUAAAUAAAAUGGAGAAAGAAGCAUUAGGAUUUUAUUAUUGUAUGCAUUUGGGCAAAGGAAGACAUUUAAAAUGGAAGGAAGGAAGACAUUUAAAAAUGUCUGAAACUUUAUUUUUUUGGCCAUGCUGAGUGGCACAUGGGAAUCGUAGUUCACCAACCAGGGGUUGAACCUGCACUCCCUGCAUUGGACGCAGAGUUUUAACCACUGGACCGCCAAGGGAAUUCCCCAUAAUGCCAGCUUCUUUACCAACUGAGCCACAAGGAAAGCCCAGGAAUACUAGAGUGGGUAGCCUAUCCCUUCUCCAAGGGAUCUUCCUGACCCAGGAAUUGAACCAGGGUCUACCUGCAUUGCAGGUGGAGUCUUUACCAACUGAGCUAUCGGGGAAGCCCCUUAAAAUUUGAAAAAGAGAGACCAAUCGUGUUGGCCUUGAAUCUGAUAAGGAAAUUGACUGGGGCCUAGGGGCAGGGAUUCUGUUUCUACUCUAUUUAGAGUGGAAAUGGUACAUUACCAGGGUUAUGUGUUAGGCCCUGGGCACACGUUUAUUAAUGUGACUCCUUUUUAUGUUUUUCCUAUCAUUGACUAACCCCAUAUUAGGAAUUUAGCAACAUGGUAUUAUUAGAAAAUUAGUAUUAAGUCAGUAUCUUAUUACAGGCUUCAAACUGUCAGACUUUAUUACUUUUGGAAAGAAAUAGCUGACUCCUUUACAGUAUUUCAAAGUUGCCUUCAGCCUAAUGGACUCCCCUAAGUGAAAAUUUCUGUUGGUAACAGACAGACCAUGCAUCUUAUAAUUCAGUUAAUGAAAUUUAUGUCGAGUAUUAAUUAUAAAUAAAGCACUAUGCUAAGUACUUCAGUUUUGUAGGUUGAUCUGUAAGAUAUGUUGCAUCUGUUGUAGGUACAAAUCAUGUCAUGUAAACCUUUAGAUUCACAAAUACUUCAGUGGGGUCAGUGGGGUCAAUAGUGCCGGUGUGUCCUCAGCAGGACUUAUUAUUGAAAAUGCGAUUUGCCUUUGGUUUGUACUUAGCACUUUCAAAAUUUUAAAAACAAAACUAAAGCAGGUUUAGUCACUUUUGGUUUUUUUUUUAAAUCAUCAACUAAGCAAGCAUGAAUUUGACUAGUAACACGAUGUAUACUCAGUUGUGUCUGACUCUUAGCAAGUCCAUGGACUGUAGACCUCCAGGCUCCUCUGUCCAUGGGAUUCUCCAGUCCAGAAUACUGAAGUGGGUUGCCCAUUUCCUACUCUAGGGGAGCCUUCUGACCCAGGUAUCAAGUCUGCGUCUCCUGCAUUGGCCAGAGGAUUCUUAAGCACUGAGCCACCUGUCAUAUGAAGAGUUAGAUGCAAAUUCUAAAUUCUAACUGAGUAACACAAUAGAAAGACUAUUUUUCCCACUUUAUAACUCUAUAGUUUGAAAUCGUGUAAGCCAACAUUCAAAAUAAUAUAUACAUACCAUAAAGAUACUGUUGUUCUAUAUUUAUAUUUUUGGUAGGUUUUAGCAUAUCAGUUAAGGUAGAAUUGUACAGAAAAUAAGUGAUUGACCAGCAGAGACAACUUUGGUACUUGGCCAUUAGCAGGACUUUUAUAUGGUAUAUGCAUAUUACAGAGAGAACACUUUGUGGAAAAUAAACCAAUCUGGGUAUAUGUAAGCAUUGCGUAAAAGGACUGGGUAACCUGCAGUUUGCAUCAUAAAAAUAAUGUGCUAUAGUAGGGUAAGGUCCUCCAUAGGACAGCCCUCAGGCAAAUUGUAAACUAGGCAGAGCAUAGCUUCAGAGGAAUCAGAGUCCUGGCACAACCAACCAUGGUAUGUUAUUCCAAAUAUGAAAUCUCACUACUGAAGGCAUCUAAUGAAAAGUUUAUAACGCUGCAUUAUUCAAGACUUUCAGUAGAAUGAGGAGCUUAUCGUAUUCAUCUUAAUAGUCUGAUCCUAGCAUGGUUCUUGGGAAUUAAUAUUCAGUAAAUGUUUAUUAAAUAAUUGCAUUCUGUUCGUUAAGCGACACAUUAAGAAAUUUUGACUAGGGGUUAUAUUAACAUUGUGCUAUCAUCAGAAGAGGAGGCAUUUAACAGUUGUUUAUUGUGCAUCAGCUGUAAUGCCAACACAGUGUUGACUCUCACUGCGUUGGCAUUAGGAAUACAAAAAACAAAUAAAAUGGGCCUUCAAGCAGUGAGAUUGGGGAAGAACUUGUAAAGAGCUCUGAUAAAAGGUGCCCCAGGAGAAACAUGAAGACAAAUAACUAUAAAAUAGUACAAUCCUAAAAAUAUCUAUAAACAGAAUAUAAUUAUGAUAUUAUCAAAAUACAAAGUGCUGUGUGAUCCCAGAAGAGAAAUUAAUUCCAUUUGGAGGCGGGAGUAUUCAGCAAGGUUUCAUAGGGAAAGUGACCUGUGAGUGGAACUUUGAAGACUAUCCCACUGGCCUCUUGGAUAUCUCAGAUCCAUUGUGUCUGUUGCUAUAUUCAUUAUUUUCCCAUUCCACACAUCUCAUCUGUCCCAGACCCACAUAUCUGACAGUCUUGAACAUAAUAACUGAUUUUACCAUUCAUCCUUGAGUCCUUCCCUAUGGAAAAUGCUGGAAUCACUUGACUCCCUUUCUUUCCCCUUCAAUAUUAAAUUUAGUCACUGUGGUUGCUUGAAGUUUUGAAUAGUUGAGUUUUUAAAUAUAAGUAUACUUUGUUCAUAAUCAAAAUUUGUAUCUUAGCAUAUCAGUCUGCUAAUUGCAUAUUUUAAUUUUGUUGAAGUAUAUCCAAAGAUGUCGUAUUUUGAAACAAUGCACUUUUUUCCACAUUGAAAAAUACAAUUGUACUAUCUAAGUAAUAUACUGAAAAUCUUAAAGAACUUAAAUGUUCUAAAGAGGUUACCCUGGUAAGCAGUCAUAACAGCAUUUUUAUUUUAAAUAAUAAUAUUAUUCUAAGAGUAUCUUUCUUUAAUUUGUCCUUAUCUCUACAGAACCAUAAAACGUUAGCACCAUUCUAGAAUUUCUAGACAGUAAUACAUUUCUGCUGCCAUUUGGAGGAGCCUGCACCACAGAGUCAGGAGGAGGAGUUGAGUCUGACGUGCCUUCAUUUGAAAUUCACACCUCCCCCCAGAAGAAUUCUUAGUCAAAUUUCAUAGUGAAUUGUGUCUUCCAGAUUUCUCUAGUACUAAAUUUAACAGAAGGCAUAGUUAUAACUAAUUAUUUUGUAGAGGUUCUAAUGAUGUUCUGACACCACUAAAAGAACAGAUAUUCUGAAAACUGAAAGUGAAACGGUCAGACCUUGGCAUCUGUAGUGAACAAGUACUUAGAGAUCUGUUGAUGGAUAUCUAGGUAAUUGUGAGAUUAGACCACGAGUGUGGGAGGACUCUGUGCUUUUCUAAUGAAACUGUUCUAAGUUUUGAUAAAAUCCAUGACGCAAGUCCCGGUCUCUUUCAAUCCAAUUUUUUAAAAAAAAUAUCCAUAAAUAGUUGUUCUCUAGAGUGGUCUUAGGAGUGAGGGAAAGCAGAAGUUUCUGAAAAUGUCAUUGUCUUUCUCUUAAAUCUUAUGCCAGAGUUACUAAGAAUUAGCAGAGUUCUUUGAUACAAGAUAUAUCCUUCUGAUAACUUGCUCUGGUGAAAUACUAGAAAAAUGUUUUGAGAAAUAAAAGACAGAUGUGAGAGUUAAAGGAAAUUUUAGUUAAUUAACAGAGUUGCAUUAAAAUAAUCUUACCAUGAUUGUGAAGUCUUAAAUUCUAAAUUUGCCUGUGCUAGUAUAAAAGCUAAUUAUAUAUUUUACUUAAUUUUUAAAAUUUUAUAGUAAAUAGCCAAUUUCUAUCAAUAUAUAAGAUGGAAAAUUGCAUUUAGAAUUGCCUUCAGAAUUAAAUUCUUAAUGCCUUUGCAAAAUGUAAUUGAAAGGUCUCUAAAGGCCAAGAUGAACACUUUAUUUCUGAUAUGUCCUUGCAGUCUGUUGCUGAUGUGUAUGAGGAAAGAAAGGUAUUCAGUACUUCCUAACUGGAGUAUUUAUCAACACCACCUACCCCUGAUACUCAUGAACAGUCCUGGAAUCGUUUCAUACCUGGUGACAUCACAUUCAUCCUCUAAGUUUUAACUCAGGGUCAGUUCUUGAAGUCAUGCUUACUCUCACAUCGUAAGACUGCAGAACUAGACCUGAAGCUAUUUUCUUUCCUCCAAAGUGGCAUCUGCAAUCCAGGAACAUGAAUACAGAAAUAGCUUCAGGUGUAGCCUCUUGGUCCAUACUGCUAGACUUCUGUUACACCAAAUUUAAUGAGAGCCAAUAGAAGCCAUUUUCCAUUAAUUUUUAAAUAUUAUAUAUUUAUAAGCUCACUAAAAUGGGUGAAUGUAAAUAUUAACUGCUAUUACUAUAAUAUAAAAAAUACAUAAAGUAAUACUUGUAAAAUACUCAAAUUUAUUAAUUUUUCUUAACUAAUCUUAAGCCAUUUUUAUUCUCUGCUUUGACAAUCCUGUUUUUUUCCAAACUUGAUUAGGUUUAUGUUUUCCAUUAAUCUGCUGUGGCUUCAUAACCACAAGACUGUACCAUCUAUUAAAAGUUGAAUUUCAUUCUUGUGCUUGUUAUCUUUAAAAAGAACUCAGUCAUUUUUGCUAAUCCUGUAAGAGUGCUUCCCUACCGUAAUCAAAAGUAAAACAAUGCAGAAUAAAAUGUCUAUAUAUGCCAAAAAUUACCUUAUGACUGUGCAUUUCUAGUAAGAAUCGAAUUUUUCCACCACUUUCCAGCUAUUCUUGCUCUUUUACAUUUGACUUUAUGAAAAUAUAAUUUAUAUUGAAUCCAUACAUUCAUGAGGCUGACUUUUGAACAAGACUUGAACUAAAGGAUCCAUGAUACUGUUUACUGAGAAUUAAUUUAUUUGAAAGAUGUUAUGAGGAUAUGAAAAUGAAAAUUUGCCUUUUAGAAGAGAAUUAUAUGAGAUCAGAACUCAAGAAAACAUGAACUAUCUCUUUGGAGAAUGGGCCUUUGCUCUUUGAUAUGUCUUGGUAGAAUACCUAACAGUUGCACAGAAAGAUGGGCAUUUAACGAAAAGUUUUUAAUAAUCAGGGAAUGAAUUUCCUUAGAUAAGAAGUAACCAAAACUGCUUUUAUUCUCAUUGUCCCUAAACGUGUAGGAAGCAGAGCAUUUUAAUACUGGGCUUGGACAAGAAAACCACACACAAGAUCAGAAGUAUGCCAUGUAGAAGGAUCAAGAUUUACGGAGGCCCAGUUAUCUGAAGGACAUGUUAGUAGAGCCACAUGUGUCAUUGCGUAGCUGUAAACUGAUUAAGUUAAGCACUUACUGAAAUUGCUUUCUGAAAACUUAAGUGAUCAUAAAAUAUGAUGCAGAAGUUCAAAGUGGGAAAGUUGCCUUAGACUAAGAGUAAAAUGAGAACCCAAUUAUGUACCAAAUUGUUUUGCAGUACCUAAAAGUUUUCACUAACAGAAAUUCACAGGUGAUUUUUUCUUUCUUUUAAAGAAUGAGAAUUGAAUCAUCUGUUGCUUGUAUUAUUAGUGUACUUGUUUAAGCAGAAGUCUCGUUUCUAUGGAGUGCUUGAGACUUCUUUUUCACUCCUACUCUCUCUGCUUGUGAGUCAUCAAGACCAAAGUGCUUUUUUCCUCCACACACAAAGAAAAUGCCGUUGACCCAUUGUCUUGGUCUGCUCAGGCUGUGGUAAUAAGUUACCACUGGCUUAAACAACAAGCACUGAUUUUUCAUGGUUCCAGCGGCUGCUGGUGGCUGGAAGUCUGAGAUCAGGGUGUCAGCAUGGUCAGGUUCUAGUGAAGACCUUCCUGGUUUACAGACCACCGUUUUGCUAUUUCCUCAUCCGGCAGUGAGAGAGAGACCAUCUCUUGUGUCUUUCUGGUAAGAGCACUAAUUUCAUCCACGAAGGCUCCAGCCUCAUGACCCAGUUACCUCCCAAAGAUAUGUCCAUGGGUUCUCAGUCAGGUCUGACUAUUUGCAACCCCAUGGACUGUAGCCCACCAGGCUUCUCCAUCCAUGGGGUUCUCCAGGCAAGAAUACUGGAGUGGGUUGCCAUUUCCUACUUCAGGGGAUCUCCAAAUCUCAUGUUGGACAUUAGGUUCAACAUAUGAAUUUGGAAGAGGGGAACACUUCAUCAUCAGGGAGCAUCUGUAAUCAUCCGUGUUCUGCUCUAUUCAUAUUCCCCCUAUUGAAGUCCAUGCAUUUGUGAACCCUUGGCGGCUUGUUAGAGAGCCAUGGAUGGCUACAGACUCUGCUUAGACAAUCUAAGCUUUCUCUGGACUUGAGCAAGGAUAAAGCAUGAAGAGGUGAAAGGCAUGACCUUUGGCCUUAUUAACACAAGAACUGAGUCAGGUUCUAAAGUAUCAGUACAGAGAUUUGGUUUUGGUGUCUUAGAACCUUUCUUCUGUUUCUCAUCUUUCCCUCUCCACUCCGCAUUCCUUCCCUGUCUUGUGACCUGUGCUUUUUCUGCUGUUUAUCCAUCAAGCCACAUUCUGAAGGCAAUAUAGGAAAGGCAUUAUAGUAAUUAAUGACAGAGGCUUGGGGAACCAGACUCAGAAGCUCAUAGCCCGGCUCUGCCACUUAAUAAGUAUACCAUUUCAGAUAAGUGAGACCCUGAACAACAUUGUUUUCUCGGUUUCCUCUUCUGUAAAAUAGGAAUAGCACCUUCUUCAAAGAAUACUGUUGAGGUUUAACAAGGUAAUGCAUUUAAGGUGCUUAGUACACUGCCAAGCACAUAGAAAUGCAUACUAAAUAGCUAAAAAUGAAAAAGGAACUAGACUUGUUUACAGUGAGCUUGAUGGAUUUAACAUAAGAUAAUGUGUGACUUCUCUCAGAAAAAUUAGCUUUUUCAACAGGAAGUAAGGAAAUAAUCUCUAAAUAUGAAAUUAGGAAUACAACACAGCUGGUGGGAAAGGCUUUAUUUUAAAAGAGCUAAUCCCAGUGCUCCUAUAACCAUACAUACAUGCUUGUUGUGCUGAAUACAGGAAUAUAGACCUUUAUCCACCUGUUUUUGCUACUUUAAGCUUGGCUGUGUCCCAGGAUGAACCAUUUUUGCUUUUUUAUGCAUGAAUUAGUUUCCUAAUGUUGCCAUAACAAAUUACCCACAAAAUCAGUGUCUUAACAUAAGUUUAUUCUCCACAGCCUGGAGGCCACAAAUCCAAAACCAAGCUGUCAGCAGGUUGGUCCCUCUGGUGGCUUGAGGGAAGAACAUCCCAUGCCUCUCUCCUAGCUUCCCGGGUUGCCAGGAUUUCUUGACUUGGAGCUGCCUGACUCCUGUGUCUGCCUGUCUUUCACAUGCCCUUCCCCGUGUCUAUCUCAAAUCUCCCUCUGCCUCUCUUAGAAGGACACCUGCCAUUGGAUUUAGGGCCCACUCUAAAUUGAGGACUUAUCUCGUUGGUAAGAAUCUUAUCUCAUUGAAUCUUAUCUCAUUCAAGAUUUUUAAUUAUAUCGUCAAAGACCAUUUUGCCAAAUAAGGUCACAUUCACAAAUUCUAGGGUUAGGACAUGGACCGCCUUUUUGGAGAAGGAAAUGGCAACCCACUCAGUACUCUUGCCUGGGAAAUCCCAUGGACAGAGGAGCCUAGCAGGCUACAGUCUAUGGGGUCGCAAGAGUUGGAUACAACUUAGCAACUGAACCACCACCACCAUACAUUUUUGGAGAACCACCAUGCAACCACUGUGUGCUGUGUAAGAGAACCAGACUCAGGGGAAUGGGAGAAUGAACUGGGAAGGGAAAACCAUACUUCCUGAAAAUUCCACAGAGUGGAAAUACUGGAGCCUCCCUGCCAGUGUGGGCAUGGGACUGCAGAUCAGUUUUCUAGGUAAAGAAAACCUCUCCCCACCUGCCAGGUCUUCAUCUUCAGCUGCAGUGAACUGCUAAAUAGGUGUGCCCAGUUUCCCUUUCUUUUCCAAGUAUGUCAGUGCUGUCUAAUUUCCGAAGCCUGUUAACUCUGGGUAAAGAACAAGCAGGGGUGCUAGAAGUGCUUGCCUGUGAUUUGGGCUUGAGAGCCAUGGUGGAAUGUUCUAAGAGCACCAGCUGAAGAAGACAUCCACAGGUCUCAGUGUAUAUUAGCCCCUUCAGUCACUUCACUACCAUCAACCCAUUUGUAGCAGGAAUAUACCAGACCCCGUGUAUGCUAAGUCAUUUCAGUCGUGUCAGACUUGGCAACCCUAUGAACUGUAGCCCGCUGGGCUCCUCUGUCCAUAGAAUUUCCCAAGAAAGAUUACUGGAGUGAGUUGCCAUUUCCUUCUCCAGGGGAUCUUCCCAACUCAGGAAUCGAACCUGUGUCUCUUACGUCUCCUGCACUAGCAAGCAGGUUCUUUGCUACUAGUGCCACCUACCAUGUAUCAGGUGUAUGGAACUGGAAAUUUGGUUAACAAGUAAGUAAGUGGAAAAGAUUAGUAUUUUUGACAUUUUUGGUUUUGGUCUGAAUGCAGCACUGGAAAUUGGCUGCAAGGGCUGAGUAGGGAAAGAUAAGGAAGUCACCUAAUUUUGUGCACCACAGGAGUGUGACUUGUGACUUUUAAAAGGACAUUGUUAAAACUCUUUACCUGAGACUUAGAAUUUGAGCCUAGUAGUUCCACCUAAAAUUAUGGUUAGUUCAAGCAAACCCCAGGCUGGUAGAGGGUCACAGCUGUAUGUGAUAAAAAUUUCCCACCAAUAUGCAUAGCAAGCUGCCCAGAAAAGGGGCAUUGCAUGUCUGUGGUUCCUGUUCCAGGGCCUCUUUAGGAGAUGUUUAAUCAGCCAACUACUCAGUCUAUCACUGCUCGCCUUUUAAGUUGCUAUUACUGAUUUCCAUAAAGAUCAAAAUAUUGAGAAAGUAAGCAAUAUCACCUAAAUGCUGGAUUGUGUAAAUACUAUCUUCCUGUUUUAUUGGUAAAAAUAAAUCCACUGUUUGAAGGAGAAAAAAUUUGUUGGUGUAAAUUGAAUCAAGUUACUACUGCUUCAAAACAUUGGAAAUCGAACUGCAGCCUGUGGACCAAACCUGUUUUUGUGUGGCCUGCAGGCUAAAAAUGGUGGUUACCUUUUUAAAUGAUUGGACAAAAAUCAAGAGAAAAAUAAUAUUUCACAACACAUGAAUAGUAUAUGAAAUUCCCACAAAUAAAGUUUUAUUGACACACAGCUCACUUGUUUAUCUAUUGUCCAUGGCUAUUUAUGCCCUCCAAUGGCAGAGCUGAGUAGUUGCAGUAGGGUCCAUUUAUGGCUGAGAAAGCCUGAAACGUUUACUCUCAGUCUCUUUCCAGAAAAAGUAUGUUGACUCCUGCUAUACUGCAGUGUUUAUCAAAACGCUGAGUUUUGGAAUUCAGAAUAUCGAUAACUUGAGCUUGUCCCCCUAGUCUGUAUUGUGACCCAAGGAAAGCAGGAAUGUCUUAUAUAGCUGCCCAGCUUCCCUCCUAUGGGCUGAAGGCAAUGUCCGAGCACAUGUAACUGGCAGACACUCCAGUGUUCAGGAAAUGACCACAGAGUGAGGCAGGCAAGCCAAGAAGCAGUCUGCAUAGGACACUGCCCCUGACACCAUGGACACUGAACUCAGUGUCACUCUUGCUGGGAAUUGUCUCUAAACUGUCUAAACUGCAUCUUUGCAGUGUGGCCUCAAUGAGGAUCAUGAACCUGGAAAGAAGUUUCUUGUUGUCUGGACCCAAGCCACAUGCCCACAUCUAAUAGGGUACAGGAGAGCGAGGUCCUCCUUCUAAUUUGCUAAUUUCCAACUCAUCCCUCCCACUAUUAUGUACAAAGCAGAGGUUUAGGCCAAAUGAGACACCAUGGCAGGCGUCCAGAGAAUGUAAAUCAAACAUCUACAUCAGGGGUUCCCUGACCUCCAGGAUCUAAUGCCUCAUGAUCUGAGGUGAAGCUGAUGCAAUCAUAAUAGAAAUAAAGUGCAUAAAUAAAUGUAAUGCCCUUGAAUCGUCUCAAAGCCAUGCCCCUUCUUGCAGUCUGUUGGAAAACUCUUCCACAAAACCGGUCCCUGGUGCCAAAAAGGUUGGGAACCUCUGUUCUACAUUUUUGCUAUUCUAAGUGUGGUCCUAAGCCCAGCAACACAAACAUAAACCUGGGAGCUUGUUUGAAACACAAUCUCUUCGGCUCAUCUCCUGACCUACUGAAUCAGAUUCUGAAUUUUAACAAGAUCCCCAGGUGUUUUGGGCUUCCCAUGUGGCGCUAAUGGUAAAGAAUCCAUCUGCCAAUGCAGGGGAUGCAAGAGACACGGGUUCGAUCCCUGGGUCGGGAGAUCCCCUGGCAAAGGGCAUGGCAACCCAUUCCAGUAUUCUUGCCUGGAGAAUCCCAUGAACAGAGGAGCCUGGCGGGCUACAGCCAAUGGGAUCUCAAAGAGUCGGACUUGACUGAGCAACUAAGCACACACGCACACCAGCUGAUUUGCAUGUACAUUAGAAAUUGAGAUGAUAUCCAAAUAAAGUCCUAAUUUGGCAGAAUUCCAUGCAGUAUUAUGAAGUGAAAGGAAAUAUUCUGGCAGUUUAAGGGACAUGUAUUUUGGGCCCUGGGAGGUUACCUGGGAACCUGCUCCCCUAGGCUCUGCCUGCUUUUCAGUUUCUUGCUUUCUCAAGCCCUCAGAUUUAAAACCUCUAAGUGUAUAGCAUUUCCCAUGGCCACAUUCUAGAAGCCUCAACAGUAACAGUAGGCAGUGGGGGAGCAGGUGUUUAAACAUGGUAGUUUUGUGAACCUUGCCCGUGUAGGUCACAGGGCCAAGUAAUAUUUUAGAGGGCCAAAGGUGAGUUUAUUGACCUAAUGUGUAUGGAUGUGAGAGUUGGACUGUGAAGAAGGCUGAGCGCCGAAGAAUUGAUGUGUUUGAACUGUGGUGUUGGAGAAGACUCUUGAGAGUCCCUUGGACUGCAAGGAGAUCCAACCAGUCCAUUCUGAAGGAGAUCAACCCUGGGAUUUCUUUGGAAGGAAUGAUGCUAAAGCUGAAACUCCAGUACUUUGGACACCUCAUGCAAAGAGUUGACUCAUUGGAAAAGACUGAUGCUGGGAGGGAUUGGGGGCAGGAGAAGAAGGGGAUGACAGAGGGUGAGAUGGCUGGAUGGCAUCACGGACUCGAUGGACGUGAGUCUGAGUGAACUCCAGGAGAUGGUGAUGAACAGGGAGGCCUGGCAUGCUGUGAUUCAUGGGGUCACAAAGAGUUGGACACAACUGAGCCACUGAACUGAACUGAAACUCAGAAAUGGAAGCUUAGUAUGCACCCAUUCAUAUUUGGAUUCAGGUUCCAGACUCUAUCACAUAUUUUUUGUGAUUUUUUGUAUAAUUUAGGUAACCAUCCUGAGCCACAAUUUUCUCAUCUCUAAGGUGAGGUUAAUAAUGUGACUACGAGAUAAUCUUUGUAAAGGGAUGCCACAGUGCCCAGCAAGAACUGUGUACUGCAUUUAUUACAGCUAUCAUUAUUCAUUUUAAAUUUGCUUCAUUCAGAGACUUUAUGCUUUAGUUAAGCAGGGUGUUAGAGCUUACUGACUCAUUUUGCAGUAGAAUUGCUACAACUACUGACACUGAGUGAUCUAUGCUGGGUUUUAGGAGUAUAGAUUUAGGCAUUCAGCUUCUAUUUCUGCCUCCAGUUUCUGUCACUAAGAGACAUCAUAGAGUAGAGUUGUUUAUACCAUCAGGACAACUUGAUAAAUUGCUAUCGUGAAUUUUAGAGGGAUGAAAGUACUUAUUUGAAAAACUGCUGAGUGUACUAAGGAUAUUUUUUAAAUAUGACUUCUGGAAUAUUGCCUCUACUGACCACAGUUGAAAAAUCUCAGCAGAACCUUUCUGUAGGGCAAAAAUGGUUACUCUUAGUUAUCAUAAACCUGCUGAAAUUUACUACCAGGCAUCUUUGGAAUAGAAGAAAAACAUUUUCAUAAGCACAGGGAAGUGGUUAGCAUCUUAAGCACAUGCUGUCCCUGAUCACUUGUCUACAUUUCCUUUGAGAAGCUAUCACUUCAGUAAAAUUGAUUCUUUAAAAAAAAAAAAAAAGUGAAUUGAAUUUAUUUCCACAGCUAAAACGUUUUGGGCACAAUGCCCCUGAAGUUAUUAAAAUAAACUCUUUAUUGAAAACCAAGAUAGGUUUUCCAGUUACUAUUUUAACUUUUACUGGCUUGUAAAUUAAGGAAGAGUGCAGUUAUAGAGUCAAAAACUAGCUAAUAAAGCGUGAAGAAGUUGUUAAUAAAUGAACUAGAUACAUAAAAUUCUUAAACCAUAUCUCAGGCCUUUAUCCUCAGUUGAUUAAUAUAUUUCUCCCAUGUACACUUGUUAAAGACACCUCUAACAUAGAAGGUCCCAGGUUACUUUUGACUAGAAUCUAAAUGUAAGUUUGCAGAAAAAUAGCCCCUGGGCUUUGAAGCACAUGGCUAAAAGGUACCAAAUGAAAGAAAAUGUUGUGUUAUUUAAUAUCCAGGCAAUAUUAUUAAUAUUGGCCAGGCAUUGUAGGGAGAAGGCAACGGCAACCCACUGCAGUACUCUUGCCUGGACAAUCCCAUGGAUGGAGGAGCCUGGUAGGCUUCGGUCCAUGGGGUCGCUAUGAGUCAGACACGACUGAGCGACUUCACUUUCACUUUCCACUUUCAUGCAUUGGAGAAGGAAAUGGCAACCCACUCCAGUGUUCUUGCCUGGAGAGUCCCAGGGACAGGGGAGCCUGGUGGGCUGCCGUCUAUGGAGUCGCACAGAGUCGGACACGACUGAAGUGACUUAGCAGCAGCAGCAGCAGGCAGUGUAGGGGACACUAUCAGAAUGAAGUGUGUGGGAGUUUCCCCCUAUUCUUUAAACAAGAGAACUUCUAGAUGCUUCUGUAAAUGCGGGAGUCAGUUUGACCUUGCAUAAAAUCUUCCUUGUUCUAGUGAAAUGUGCUUGAGUAGUUGCCCUCAGAAUGCAAGGCCAGGAGACUUCCUGCUCCCACUGCUACGUGGAGCCCAAAGCAUUGGGCGCUGAGCUGACUCCAGAUUGGAACGUCCACCCCAGUUCUGGCUCAGAUGCAGGACAUCGUCGACGCCUAAUUGACUUCCUUUUCUCUUCUGGAGCUCAUCUCAUGGUCUUAAGUCUUCUAUAAAUCUUCCUAACCAUAACCCUAUUGAAAACCCGUAAUUUAGGUGCUAACAGAAGAAAACAAAUUCUCCUCGAUUUGCUCCCUGUCAUCAGGGCUAAGCCCCUCUUGCAAUAGCAGCACCUCCUCUGACCAAUCUCAUGAGCAGAUCUAUCCUCUUUAAACUUAUUGGUCAUAUCCUGGCCCCACUGUCACCAAGAAUGAGGUCUCCCUUCAGAUCUAUAAAUCCGUCCCACCAACAUUUCAACGUGCUUAAGUAUCUUCUGCCUGAUAAAAUCUGCCUCAGCCACAUGUUCCUUUCCAGCCACUCCCCUUUCUUCUUUCUAACUGCAGUUCUUAAAGGUCUUAGAAGAGAGUCCGCUCUGUGCACACGCACACACACACUUCUCACUCUUCUCAUCUUCAUCCAAAGUAACCUGUCUUUCCUACAGCUUCACUGACUUCACUUUCAGCGGGGUCCUCAGAGAUUUCCUUGUCACCAGUGUUUGGCAGCAGUCUCACUGUCAUUGAUUCAUUCUUCCUUCUGGAAACCUCUUCUAUUAGCUUCCCUGAGUCCGGUGCCACCUCUCUGGUGACUGUUGCCCAGUCUCCUUUGAAGUUUUUCUUGUAUUCCCACCGUUGCCCCAUAUGAUGUCCAGAGCGUUAAGGAGCCCCUCCUGGUCCCUUUCUCAUUCAACACACACAGGCUGUAUAAUUUCAGCCACCUCUAGGAUUUAAUACCACCAGAUUAGUGUGGCCUCCUCAUUCUGAGCUCCAGACAGGAAGUCGUUGGCCAUUUCCACCUUCAUGAAAUGCUCUCUUCUCU
ensembl:lncRNA